rnacentral:rRNA from 1 species
GGGUUGUGAGGUUAAGCGACUAAGCGUACACGGUGGAUGCCCUGGCAGUCAGAGGCGAUGAAGGACGUGCUAAUCUGCGAUAAGCGUCGGUAAGGUGAUAUGAACCGUUAUAACCGGCGAUUUCCGAAUGGGGAAACCCAGUGUGAUUCGUCACACUAUCAUUAACUGAAUCCAUAGGUUAAUGAGGCGAACCGGGGGAACUGAAACAUCUAAGUACCCCGAGGAAAAGAAAUCAACCGAGAUUCCCCCAGUAGCGGCGAGCGAACGGGGAGGAGCCCAGAGCCUGAAUCAGUAUGUGUGUUAGUGGAAGCGUCUGGAAAGGCGCGCGAUACAGGGUGACAGCCCCGUACACAAAAAUGCACAUGCUGUGAGCUCGAUGAGUAGGGCGGGACACGUGGUAUCCUGUCUGAAUAUGGGGGGACCAUCCUCCAAGGCUAAAUACUCCUGACUGACCGAUAGUGAACCAGUACCGUGAGGGAAAGGCGAAAAGAACCCCGGCGAGGGGAGUGAAAAAGAACCUGAAACCGUGUACGUACAAGCAGUGGGAGCACGCUUAGGCGUGUGACUGCGUACCUUUUGUAUAAUGGGUCAGCGACUUAUAUUCUGUAGCAAGGUUAACCGAAUAGGGGAGCCGAAGGGAAACCGAGUCUUAACUGGGCGUUAAGUUGCAGGGUAUAGACCCGAAACCCGGUGAUCUAGCCAUGGGCAGGUUGAAGGUUGGGUAACACUAACUGGAGGACCGAACCGACUAAUGUUGAAAAAUUAGCGGAUGACUUGUGGCUGGGGGUGAAAGGCCAAUCAAACCGGGAGAUAGCUGGUUCUCCCCGAAAGCUAUUUAGGUAGCGCCUCGUGAAUUCAUCUCCGGGGGUAGAGCACUGUUUCGGCAAGGGGGUCAUCCCGACUUACCAACCCGAUGCAAACUGCGAAUACCGGAGAAUGUUAUCACGGGAGACACACGGCGGGUGCUAACGUCCGUCGUGAAGAGGGAAACAACCCAGACCGCCAGCUAAGGUCCCAAAGUCAUGGUUAAGUGGGAAACGAUGUGGGAAGGCCCAGACAGCCAGGAUGUUGGCUUAGAAGCAGCCAUCAUUUAAAGAAAGCGUAAUAGCUCACUGGUCGAGUCGGCCUGCGCGGAAGAUGUAACGGGGCUAAACCAUGCACCGAAGCUGCGGCAGCGACGCUGAUGCGUUGUUGGGUAGGGGAGCGUUCUGUAAGCCUGUGAAGGUGUGCUGUGAGGCAUGCUGGAGGUAUCAGAAGUGCGAAUGCUGACAUAAGUAACGAUAAAGCGGGUGAAAAGCCCGCUCGCCGGAAGACCAAGGGUUCCUGUCCAACGUUAAUCGGGGCAGGGUGAGUCGACCCCUAAGGCGAGGCCGAAAGGCGUAGUCGAUGGGAAACAGGUUAAUAUUCCUGUACUUGGUGUUACUGCGAAGGGGGGACGGAGAAGGCUAUGUUGGCCGGGCGACGGUUGUCCCGGUUUAAGCGUGUAGGCUGGUUUUCCAGGCAAAUCCGGAAAACUAAGGCUGAGGCGUGAUGACGAGGCACUACGGUGCUGAAGCAACAAAUGCCCUGCUUCCAGGAAAAGCCUCUAAGCAUCAGGUAACAUCAAAUCGUACCCCAAACCGACACAGGUGGUCAGGUAGAGAAUACCAAGGCGCUUGAGAGAACUCGGGUGAAGGAACUAGGCAAAAUGGUGCCGUAACUUCGGGAGAAGGCACGCUGAUAUGUAGGUGAAGUGACUCGAUGGAGCUGAAAUCAGUCGAAGAUACCAGCUGGCUGCAACUGUUUAUUAAAAACACAGCACUGUGCAAACACGAAAGUGGACGUAUACGGUGUGACGCCUGCCCGGUGCCGGAAGGUUAAUUGAUGGGGUUAGCGCAAGCGAAGCUCUUGAUCGAAGCCCCGGUAAACGGCGGCCGUAACUAUAACGGUCCUAAGGUAGCGAAAUUCCUUGUCGGGUAAGUUCCGACCUGCACGAAUGGCGUAAUGAUGGCCAGGCUGUCUCCACCCGAGACUCAGUGAAAUUGAACUCGCUGUGAAGAUGCAGUGUACCCGCGGCAAGACGGAAAGACCCCGUGAACCUUUACUAUAGCUUGACACUGAACAUUGAGCCUUGAUGUGUAGGAUAGGUGGGAGGCUUUGAAGUGUGGACGCCAGUCUGCAUGGAGCCGACCUUGAAAUACCACCCUUUAAUGUUUGAUGUUCUAACGUUGACCCGUAAUCCGGGUUGCGGACAGUGUCUGGUGGGUAGUUUGACUGGGGCGGUCUCCUCCUAAAGAGUAACGGAGGAGCACGAAGGUUGGCUAAUCCUGGUCGGACAUCAGGAGGUUAGUGCAAUGGCAUAAGCCAGCUUGACUGCGAGCGUGACGGCGCGAGCAGGUGCGAAAGCAGGUCAUAGUGAUCCGGUGGUUCUGAAUGGAAGGGCCAUCGCUCAACGGAUAAAAGGUACUCCGGGGAUAACAGGCUGAUACCGCCCAAGAGUUCAUAUCGACGGCGGUGUUUGGCACCUCGAUGUCGGCUCAUCACAUCCUGGGGCUGAAGUAGGUCCCAAGGGUAUGGCUGUUCGCCAUUUAAAGUGGUACGCGAGCUGGGUUUAGAACGUCGUGAGACAGUUCGGUCCCUAUCUGCCGUGGGCGCUGGAGAACUGAGGGGGGCUGCUCCUAGUACGAGAGGACCGGAGUGGACGCAUCACUGGUGUUCGGGUUGUCAUGCCAAUGGCACUGCCCGGUAGCUAAAUGCGGAAGAGAUAAGUGCUGAAAGCAUCUAAGCACGAAACUUGCCCCGAGAUGAGUUCUCCCUGACUCCUUGAGAGUCCUGAAGGAACGUUGAAGACGACGACGUUGAUAGGCCGGGUGUGUAAGCGCAGCGAUGCGUUGAGCUAACCGGUACUAAUGAACCGUGAGGCUUAACCUUACAACGCCGAAG